rnacentral:tRNA from 1 species
UGAGAAUUGGCUCAAAUGAUAGAGCUCUUGCUUAGCAUGCAAGAGGUAGCGGGAUCCAUGCCCAUAUUCUCUA